UACGUAGGGUGCAAGCGUUGUCCGGAAUUAUUGGGCGUAAAGAGCUCGUAGGCGGUUUGUCGCGUCUGCUGUGAAAUCCCGAGGCUCAACCUCGGGUCUGCAGUGGGUACGGGCAGACUAGAGUGUGGUAGGGGAGAUUGGAAUUCCUGGUGUAGCGGUGAAAUGCGCAGAUAUCAGGAGGAACACCGAUGGCGAAGGCAGGUCUCUGGGCAUUAACUGACGCUGAGGAGCGAAAAGCAUGGGGAGCGAACAGG
rnacentral:rRNA from 1 species